CCAGCCUGGGCGAUAGAGUGAAAGAGACUCUGUCAAAAAACAAAAACAAAAACAAAAAUUAUACUGACCGGAGUCAACCAAUCAGAACAUUUUUCAAAAAAUUAUGGUUUCACCUUUUGGGCAGGAUGUAAUAGAUUAUUGUUCCCACUGCCACAGUCAGACAAACCCAUACAAAUUAUUCAAAAAGCCACAAUUUUGAAGCAUCAGAGAUCUUUGGAAGCAAUGAGAACUGGAACAACUAAAGCUACAGAGAGAGAAAACCAUUUCAAGGUGAUCUGAUGAACAUGUUAUUUUUUUUUCCUCAUUGGGAGCAUUUGACAAAUUCAGAUGUGGGAUAAAAAUUGCCUUAUCUAAGACAUAGGGCACCUGCAGAAGUAAAGAGAGACAGGCAAAGCUUUUGGCAGUCACACAGACUUAAAGUUACCCAUUAGAAAACUUAGAAGACUUCAAAGGCAUGGCCACAUGGGACAUUUACCUAGUUUUGGGUGUGUAAGAAAGCCUCAUGAACUAGAUAGAAAUCUUUAAAGCAUAAAAUUUUACACAUGGUGCUAAGAAAGACCCAUAAGAGCAGAGGGUCUGCCUUAAGACACUUCCCAAAUUUAGAAUUUGUGUGGAAAGUAAGGCUAAAGAGCUACACUGACAAUCUGUGAAGGGAAGGACUGAAUCUCCCACCAUUUUCAGGACUAAUGCUCUCAAUCACAAAGCCAUACCUGGCAAACAGAAGAAAUCUUAAGAGCCAUGCCUGGCAAACAGAAGAAAAUCAAAGGAAUGAAAUCAUGUUAUCAAUGUAUACAAACAUGUAAAGUUACCUUCCUUUCUUUAUUGCAUCAGCAUCUGUAACUUGUUCAUCUAAGGAUGGUUUAUGUAGUAAAAUUAUAAGCUAAAAAUAAGAGAGACCUCCAUGCAAUCUAGUUUAGAACCUUCAAAAGCAUUCUAUAAUUUGUCAGAUAGUUUUACCCAACCCUUAUUUUUAUGGUAGUAUUUUUAUGGUAGAACUGGGUUUUACAACUGAAACCCAGCCCAGGCUUAGUUCAAUUCCUGAUUAUAUUGAAGUAAUUAAUGACUGACCCUUUCCCUUUCUGCCUAGCAGAUCAAAGGGGACCACUCUUGGUAUUGAAGUUCAUCUCAUUGGGAGCAUCUGUGGUUCUUUUAUAUACAAUGUACAUUCUACAAUAGAGGCAGACCCAGAAAUAAUUCAGAUAUUGGAGUUAGAAGAUCAGGAUUCUAAAAUAAGUAUAAUUAAUAUUUUCAAGAAAACAAAGGAAAAGGUGGACAGAAGAGAUUAAAGUGUGGAUAAAUUUAGUAAGCAAUUUGAAUCUUUUUAAAAACAGCAUUAAACAGAUAUUCUGGAAAUAAAAUGUACAAUGUUUGAAAUUAGGAACUCGUUAAAUGGACUUAGCAACAGUUAAGGUGUUUUUGAUUCAACUAUUUUGCUGUCUCCAAACUGAGGUACAGAGAGGGAAAAAAGUAAAAAGGAACAAAAAACUGUAAGAGGCAUGCAGAACAUGUCAAAAAGCCUAACAUAUAUAUGAUUGGCAUUUUAGAAAAAGCAAAAAGAGGAAAUGGCCCAGAUGCAAUAUUGGAAAACAUAAUGACUGAGGAUUUUCAAAAGCUAGUGACGAUCACAUAGAUUUACAAAGCUUAAUGAAACCCAAGCAAGAUAAAUACAAACCAAAGCAUAUCCAAGCACAUGAUGGCCAAACAGCUGAAAAACCAAGAGCAGAGAGAACAUCUCAAUAGCAUCCAGAGAAAAAAAGACAAGUGUUCUCAAAACAGCAACCGUAAAACUUAUAACUGACUUCUCAAUAGAAAUGAUGGAAGUCAAGAGAAAAUGAAACAAGGAAACAGAGGAUAUAGUUAAAGUACUGAAAGAAGGAAAUACAAAACAUAAUUCUAGACCCAGUGAAAAGACACAUUAAACUGAAAGAAAAAUAUAUUUCAGGAAAAGAAAUAGUAGAAUUUGUCAUGACCAAGCAUGCCGUACAGGAAAGACCAAAAAACGUUCUUUAGGAAAAAAAUCACUCCAGAAGAAAACAUGAAAAUGUAGGAAAGAAUAAAAAACACUGGAAAAGAUAACUAUGUGGGCAAAUAUUAAAUUCAUAUUGAUUCUUCAAAACAAUAAUUGCAAUAUUUUGUCAUUUCAAAUACAGUUGACCCUUGAACAACACAGGUUUGAACUGUGAAAAUUCACUUAUACAUGGAUUUUCUUCUGCCUCUGCCACUCUUGAGACAGCAAGACCAACCCUUUCGCUUCCUCUUCUUCCUUAAUCUAUUCAGUGCAAAGGUGAUGAGGAUGAAGAACUUCAUGAUGAUCCACUUACACUUAAUCAAUGAAAACCAAAAGAACCUGCCUUACUAUGCACCUAUGGCCCAUCAAAGGCGAGAGUAGAAUCUGCCAUGAUUUAGAAGCAAACAAGAAAAAGUACACGUCAGUUUGCAGGAGAAUUGGAGAAACGAAGCAACACAGCGAUGGAAGUGAGACUACUGAAGGUAAGCUUGGGAGGGGGUCCUCGACACCACCAUAUCAGCGGAUCCACAGCUAAGUGAUUGGUGGUGGCCUGGGGUGCUGCUCUUUAGCAGGGAUAAGAGUGGAGCACACAAGCUGGACUCGGAACAAACUGGGAGCAUCUGCAUCCAACCAUGACGGUCUGGCCGUGACAGUGGUUAGAGAGGAGUGGCUUCUGUGAAACUCUCACAGUCUCAAGUCUCCCACAAAUCCCUCUUUCAGCUAACUCUAAUCUUGUACCAUAGAGGAAAUGGAUUCUGAAAACUUGGUCUCCAACCUUAGACAAAUUGAAUAAUAUGUCCUCUCCUGCUUCUUCUGUAACUGAAUUUGCAUUGGAAAGCAGGCCUGUCACUCUCAGACUUUGUGGUUUGAGUAGGGCUCACUUCAGCACCACCUUUUCCUCCUCUUAGUGCCAGGGACUGGCAUGAGACUCGGGCCUGGCCAACUGAUUGUCACACACCUAUGACCAUCAGUUGGCUCAAAGAUGAACUCAGGACACCAUCACAGUCAAUGAGACCCUGUUAGGGAAAUUUGUCAGAACCAUACAAAGAAAUAGCUCCACUUUUCCAUAGAGAUGAGACAUAAGCCUGGACUAACUGGUGUCCAACUUUCCAUCAAGAGAGACUCUCUAAGAAGAUAGAGGAAAACUGGGGAAAGCGAAGUCUAAGGCAGGCAAGUAAGGGCAAGUCCAGUUGACAUCAUAUGAAUCACCUGAACCUAGAAAACAAGGCAUACCUGGAUUCAAGGCCAAGAAAAAUUGGCAGCUGGCUUGAAUCAGGUUCUAUCACUUGCAGUUGAAAAGGUCCAGACUAAUCCGAUAGAGUUAACAGAGGAGCAAGUAAGCAAGAUUCUCCCCUACAGUAAGUGCUCAAUGCAUGUCAACUGGUAUUAUUAUUAUACAGCCUUCCAUUUCUAGCCCUUUUAUUUCUACCACCUCUCUUCUGUGUUUUAUGUAAAGUGCAUUAAGGAUUGUUCUGUUUGGAGACAUCAAACCAUAUAAAAUGACACCAGUAGGUCCCUUUCUGUCAGUGUCCACAAGCUCAACAAUCAGGAUCAGCAGACAAAAACAGCUAAGCUGGAGUCAGCGUUUUUAUGAAGAAACAGGAAAAGAGCUUACUUAGGAAUUGUAGCUCAUCCUCCAAUAUUCUCCACUCUUUUCAUGACAGUGUCUUCUUGGCCCUGAAGAUGCCUCUUCAUGACUCCCUGCCUCUGUCCUUUCUUCAUCUCACUUACAUAUUCCAACAAGGAGUACAGCAAGCCUUGGAAUGAGGACCUCCAAAGGUCCUCAGUAUCCUUAGGACACUCUGAGUGCAGAACUGGAGGGACUGAGAGGAGGAGCUUUUGCAGGUUAAAUGACUAGUAAAUGGCCUUUCUUUAUAUUUCCACUAGAAAUGAGAUUAGCUACACUUGAGAAGGAAUGACUUUGGAACAACUGAUCCCUAGCUUUCUUUGAGAUGCAGGGAGUAGUAACCACCUAGUUAAUCAGUGAAAGCAUAUUUAUAAAGUUCACAGGGUACCUAGCAUAUAGCAGCUGUUCUCUAUCUCAAUUGAGUUUUGACUAGGAAAUGGGCUUAGGAUAAAACACAUGGGCUUUCGAGUAAUCAUUUGUAAGUAAUUGUAGAUAGUGACCACAGUUUAAUAGCAUAGAUAUAUUAUGAAAAGUCACUGAAAUACCUUCUCUGGAAAAUGUUAGAAACUCAAGUAGAAUGGCUUAGUUAAAGGCGAGAGGGGGAGAAACUUGAAAAAUGCGGUCCAGUACAAGAAUACCCCAUUUCCCCCCCAAGGUAAUGAAUCCCUUUUCAUGCAUCUAGUGACAUGAAGUAAUAAUAGUUAUUUAUACAGGAACAAUUUAGGAGACUUAGAAUAUUCACUUCUUUUGCCUUCUAGCUAAGCAUCAAGAUUCUCUCUGUGUCUCUGUCUCUCUCUCUCUCUCUCUCCAUUUUCCACUUCUAGCUCCAACUAUUUUAAAUCCCUCCCCCAAUAGAGCCCAUAACAAACAUAAAACAACAUUUGUUUUAUGUUUACAGUAGAUGUUCAAGCUAAUAUUUGUGUAGGUAUAGCCCCAGCAUUAAAUUAAGGUUUGGUUCACCAACAGGGUGCCUAGAGACUUCACCUCUAUUUCCAUGAGGGACCAAACAGCCUCUUGAGAAGGGACUCAUCAAAAUGGAAGAGUUGGCAAUAAGAAGUUUGGCUCAAUAACUAAGCACAGAAGUUGCAGAGGAGAAAGGAUUUGUAGGGCAGUACAACGUUCAGGGGCAAGUUGGCAGUUUUUAGCAAGAGCUGAAGUGAUGCCAGCAGAGGUAACACUGCUCAGAGGGACCAGUGGUCCCCAGGAGGAGCAGGGGAAUCCCCAGUGGAUCUGAUUUGUUUGAGAGCACCUGUGAGAUUAUCAGCUGGCGUUACAAUUUUGGAGUGGCAGUGAGAAGCAGUGAAUUUGAGGUCACUCAAUUUGCAGACCCCAAUGGGUGAAAUGUUGAGAAACAUAGGUUACAUAUGUAUUUGACAACUCUUGUGUAUUAUCACAAAUCCUAUUUCACCUCUCAUGCCCCCGAGGCUUUGGUGUCCAGUUCCCUGAAGACUUCAUCAAUCCUCAGUCACAAAUCACCUGACAGCCACUCACCUUGCUCCAUACUAUGAAGCUCCCUGAUGUCACAACAUGGCAGGCCUGUGGCAACCCCUCAGCACUUAUGCAUGAUCCCAAACAGCUAGAGGAUUAACACCUACAGUGUAACCCUUGAGCAGCAGGAAAUGGAAAUUACUGUCUUUUUGUCCCCCCAGGGGAACAGUUCUAAAAUGCAUUUUAUAAAGCUUCUGAAAUAGUUCCACAGGUCAAGCACCUACUUGCUCCAGUGGUGACCAACUCAAUGGUGCAUCCUUGGGUUGACUCUCCCUCGUUUCCAGUUCACUUUCCCUGCCCUUCACUUCUGCACCUCAGCAUCACAUUCCUGAAUAAACCACUCACACAUCUUUCUUAUUUCAGACUCUGUUUGUGGGAAUCCACAAUACAAAUUUGUCAUUUUGAGUUAAACAUUGUUCUCACCUUGAAGACAUAUUUCCAUACCUAGAGAUUUCUGACGUUCUCUCCCUUUUCCUACCAUCUCCUUUGUGCUUUGUCUGACCUCCAUAUUCCAGAGCCCCAUGACAUUUAGAGCCAGUACUGCUAGGGAAAUAGUUCAGUUGUGUUUUAAAUGGUUCAGCAACUUGUAACAUCAACUGAGAACCAGGGGAAUACACUCGGAGGCCAAGAAAAAAAAUGUUAGUUAAUAUGUACCAUAGAGUAUGAUUCCUUGGGUAAGGGAAAGUUUAUGCAAGUGACAGAGGAAAAUUGAAAGUUGUAGCCCUUUUUUCAGAAUUUAUAUUUGGAAUUAAAGUUUCUCUUCUCUUGAAAGACCUUCUUUCUGUGAUGAAUCUGAAGCCCG